rnacentral:lncRNA from 1 species
UUUUUUACAGUAACAAAUUACAUUAAAAAGAGAAAAUAUGUCAAGUCGGAUACCCCUUAAAACUUGAUUUGGUUGAUGACCUCUUUUAUUUGUAUGCGUGUAGCUAACAUCUUUUUCUAUUUCUAAGCAUGAAGUUUGUUUUGAAAUUGGCCCUAAGCACUUGAAUUUGGUUUGUCCACUUCAAAUUUUGUCCUAUUUGCAGAGAUCUUUUUUCCUUUAACCUGUCCAGAACAAGUACAUCAAAAACGUUAACAUACUUUUGGAAAAAAAAUACAAAAACACAAAACCAAUGCCAGAAGGUGCAAAUCAGAGGAUCGCAAUUUAAGGGUGAGCAUCAGCAUAGUAGGAAAUUUGCACAUAAGUGUUGGGAUAUCUUUUUGUCUCUUAAAAAGUGUUGUAAAGACCUCACAAAUUUUGUCAAUCUUAUAGCAAACAUAAUACAAAACACAAAUACUAAUAGCCUAAAAAAAUAAUUUUUUUUCCUGAUAUAAAAAGAAAAUUCCACAGUGAAUUGAGGGGGAGGCAAAAAAAUCAUAACCAGAUUGCUCCAAAACCGAAUGGAAAAUUGGACACCACAUUAAAACACAUACACUUGCUGAAACAACUUUCAUAUAUGAUCAACAAGACCUUAAUCACACGAAAAGCACCACACCGCAAAAGUCAGAACUACACUUAGGGAAGAAAGAUUGCAAGGAAUAAGUAGGAAAGAAAAUAAAUUACCUGUAUUCUCAGGUGGCCUCGAUUCUUUUUCGUGCAGGUAUAACAUCCUUCUCUUUUCAUCGAUACAAAUAUUACAUUUUUUUUCUUGCACGUCCGUUGUAAUUAUGACAGAUAAAUACCCGAUUUUAGGGGGUGGGGCGUUUGUAUUUUCCUAAUGUUUCCGACUUGAUUGUUAUUUGUUAUACUCCUAUUCAAAGCUUUGAAUACCGAAAUUUGAGUUCUAACGGUUGGUUCGAGUUUAAAGUUUUUGUCUGUUUCAUUCGGAUUUAUUUAUUUUGUUUUGAGAAGAUGAAAGUAUUGCUAUUUUGCUGUUUGAAUCGUACGAAGGAGGUGGGAUCUUGUUCGAUUUGGUCUUUGAACAUUUGGGGUAAUGGAGGAUGGGAAGAGAGAGGUGGAUGAUUGGAUUAACCUUUUUUUGUAUGAACGUGAGAGAGACAGAUAAGGGAAAGAAAGGGGUGGUUACGGUAACUGGGGAGGCUAGGGUUUGCUUUUCCCCUUUAGUUAAUCCCACUUGGGUCGGAUCCGACCCGCCCCGGACCAAUGCCCAAUGUUUAUUUUUCUAGUUGGGCCUCAGAUCCAUCAUCUAGCCCAACUUGCUUUUUAUUUUAUUUUUUGGACAAUAUUAUAUAUAUAUAUAUAUAUAUAUAUAUAUAUAUAUAAUAUAUAUAUAUAUAUAUAUAUAAUAUAUAUAUAUAUAUAUAUAUAUAUAUAUAUAUAUAUAUAUAUAUAUAUAUAUAUAUAUAUAAUAUAUAUAUAUAUAUAUAUAUAUAUAUAUUAUAUAUAUAUAUAUUAUAUAUAUAUAUAUAAUAUAUAUAUAAUAUUAUAUAUAUAAUAUAUAUUAUAUAUAUAUAUAUAUAUAUAUAUAUAUAUAAUAUAUAUAUAUAAGUAAGCUUAUUUCAACUAUUUGUGCAUGGCUUGGUGGUUGAAGCAAUCAUUGUUUCCUACUAGGCCCUUGGUUUGAUCCUGGGUUUUGGCAAAUUUUUAAUUUCACUAUUAGUUUUAUUUUAUAUCAAUGUCAGUUUUUUUAUCCUAACUUCUUGAUUUAAAUUAAACAUUUUUGUAUCCUCUAUUUAAUUCAAAUUAUUUUAAAACACCUGUCGAUUUUUUUAAAUUUUUUUAAAUUUUUAUGCGUGUCAAAAACAAAAAAAAAACUUAUUUAUUUAUUUAUUUAUUUAUUUAUUUAUUCAUACUCGACUUAUUUUGGGCUCCUUUUAUAUCAAGUCUUUUUUAGUGUAUCCAUUCAACUUCCUUUGAUUUCAAACUUCCAUGCUUCGAUCAUUUUAAUCUCAAACUUUUACAUUAACCUUUUCUUUUAAACCUUUCUUAAUAAAAUUGGAAGAAAAAGAUUUCCUGGAUGAAAGGUCCAGUCGUAAUCCCGAAUAUUAUGCCCAAGUUGCAAGAGCUUGUAAGCCCUAUGUAUUAGUCUUCUCUUCAAAAUGCUCCGAUAUUCAAAUCAUUUUCAUAAGUGUUUAAAGAAAAAGAUUACCCUGGCUGGAAUAUCCAGUCGUAAUCCUGAAUAUUAGGCCCAAGUUGUAAGAGCUUGUAAGCCCUAGGUAUUCGUCUUCUCUUCAAAACACUCCAAUAUUCAAACUAUUUUCAUAUGUAAGUAUGAAGAAAAAGAUUACCCUGGAUGGCAUAUCUAGUCGUAAUCCCGAAUAUUAGGCCCAAGCUGUAAGAGCUUGUAAGCCCUAGGUAUUCGUCUUCUCUUCAAAACACUUGUAAAUAUUCAAACCAUUUUCAUAAAUAAAAAUCUGAAGAAAAAUAUUACCUGGGUGAAAGGUCCAGACGUAAUCCCGAGUAUUUAACCCAAGUUGUAAGAGCUUGCGAGUCAUAAAUACUCGUCUUUCAAACCCAAAAAAAACAUCCAACCAAUCAAACUCUUUUUUUCUCUCCGUCGUGCGAUUGAUCAAAAAAACCUUUUCAUAAACGAAAGACAUCUUGUUUUAAGGUGAUGUAAAGCAAUGCUUCGUCCAUAUUGGUUGAAUUGAGAUAAGUGACGUUUUUCCGAAUGUUGAUUUGUAAAUCUGUUGGAUGUGAUGUAUAUGUCCGCUCCUCGUCUGUUUUGGGUAAAACAAUAUUUCUCGUCGAUUAAUACAAGAUAACUUUCGCUAAAAUCGACCAACAAACAAACAUUUUCUACCCAGAACUACGUAAGCCUUGAUUUCUCUAUUGCACAUGGAGAUACGUAGGAGCAGGAUUUGUAAAUCUUGUCAGGCCCCUUAAAAAAAACUUAGGUUUUAUCCCCUUCGUUGCCAAAAUCCAAAAACAUUAUUCUCUUUCCUACUCUUUCUUUACCUCUUAAUAACUUGAGAAUCCUAAUAUUUCUAAACCAACACUAACAUGCACAACUAACCAAAUGGUUCCUGUUGAGUACAACAGACGUGAGUGGUGCUAAUACCUUCCCCUUGCGUAAUCGACUCCCGAACCCUGAUUUGGUUGCGACGACCAAUAUCAUUGUCAAUCUUUCUUGGGUUUUAUCGAUAUUUCCCCUUUCCUUUUUAGGAAUAAAUAAAUUUCGGUGGCGACUAUGUUCAGUCUAUCAUUGCGAGCAUGCGAUUGCGCUUCGCUUAGCUCGUGUUCUCAUUUUUCAAGGUGUGACAGAUGGCGACUCUAUUGGGGAGUAACUGGAUCUCACUAAGUGGGUCAAGCCUAGUUAGGUCAUUUGCAUGCCUUUGUUUAUUUACUUGUGUGGCUUUUUUUUAUUGUUUUUUCUAUCUUUAUUGUCAUGUUGAUAUAAUCUAUUGUAUUGGUUCCAUUAUGCUUUGGUACUUGGAUACUCUGAUUGCAAACCUUAUGGGAAAGACUUUUUACCCGAGUCUCGAGUAAAAAUAUAAGAUAGGACGAGGUUGAGUAGUGCGGGUCCGUGAGAUGAAUUUCUCGUUGGGUCAGUGUGAGAAGCUUACUUAGAGUAGAUCCUUGGGAGGAUUUUGUCUCCCCGCAAGUAAUUUGCCGUAAGCUUUGACAUUUUCUUUAGAAUCCAUGACUCUGAGGACCAUUUAUAGAACCUUAAUCCUUUGGCCAACUAGGAAAGAUGGUUACAUAAUGUGGGUUUGUGAGAUGAAUUUAUCUUUGAAUCGAUGCGAGAACCUCACUUAGAGUAGAUUCUUUAGAUGGAGUUGAUGCCUGGCAAGUAAGUUGCCAUAGGCAGCAAACAGUCUAAUGGAUCCAUGACUCUAGGAACUUUUUUUGAAACCCUAGACCAUACCUGGUGAGAACUCUGUUCUAUACGAAGCAAUCAGACUUAUACAUACCUCGAGCCUAUUGAACUUAUACAAAAAAUGCAUCACAUUCAUCCACAUACAUUGCAUCAACAUCAUAAAAAGAAAACUCUUAGUUGUCUCUUAUUUGUUUCGGGAAUUGAGAAUUUGAAAAUGACAACUCCAAGAAGAAACACUUUCUCACUUAAGUACAAGGAACCUAAGCUUGACAGUCUGAAAGGAUUGAUCUCUAAUUUGACUCUCAAUAAGCGUGACGACUUCGGAAAAGACUAUGGGAAAAUUUUGAGCCUUCUGACUAAGAAAGUUGACCAUGGGAUUAUCAGCUCUUUGGCAUAAUAUUAUGAUCCGCCUCUACGCUGUUUCACAUUCGCUGACUUUCAACUAAAUCCUACUUUGGAAGAAGUUGAGAGAAUUGUGGGCCUAAAGUUGAAAGAUUGCAAUCCAUUUCCAAAGCUCGAAGUGGAAGUGGGCCCAAAGAAGAUAACUUUAGCCCUAAGUAUCAAUGUCCCAACUGUUCUAGCCAAUUGGGUCGAGAAAGGGGGUUUCAAAGGUUUUUCCAUGAGGUUCUUGGAAGAAUUAGCUCUGAAGUUCAAGAAAGAAGGAAAUUGGAAUGCAUUCUAUGUUGUGUUUGGUUUAUUGAUCCAUGGGAUUGUGCUCUUCCCAAAUGUUGAAAAGUUUGUGGAUCAUAUAGUCGUAGAAGUCUUUCUCUCUGGCAAUCCUGUACCAUUUCUCUUAGCUGACAUUUACCAUGCCUUUCACGCUCGACAUGAAAAGAGGGGUGGAACUUUUUUGUGUUGUGCUCCUUUUCUUUAUACUUGGUUCAUGCAACAUAUGCCCGAAAAGGCCCUUUUUGUGGCAAAGGAACUUAAAUCUCCUCAAAGACUAGCUUCUCUCACUGCAAGUUUAAUCAGAUGGUAUAUCUGAGAGUGGGAAACCCCAUACAUCAUUAUCAACUGUAGGGAAUUUCAUAGUGUGUCGUUGUUAGGUACUAAGGGUUGCAUCAAUUAUAACCCUAUGUUAUCUCGAAUGCAACACGACUACUCCAUGGAUGGUCCUCCUGAAGCAAAGGACUUACAGCCAUUUGUGCUCUUUGACAUCCAAGCAAGUAAUCUGAUGUAACAGUGAUCUGAAAGGAUUGGUUGAAGAUUGUUAGGAAGGGUAAAGAGUUUGGAAAAAGAAACACUCUUGUCAAAGAACCUUACACUCGAUGGGUGAAAGAAAGAGUUGAAGAAAUCCAUUUGCCAUUUAUCUUUAAUGCUUCAACUUUUCCUAAAAUUCCCGAGCCAAAGCCCAUAUUCCCUGAGGACAUGGAGAAACUCGCUGCUAAGGUUAAGGAGCUCGAGUUAGAGAAUACCGAAUUAUGGAUUCAAAUGAACCAAGCUAUCUUGGAAAAUCAAAAUUUGAAGGAUGAACGUAAGGGGAAAGCCCAAGAACUUGAAGAUAGUAACAAGAGAGCCAGGCUAUUGGAAGACCAGAAGAACGAUCUUGAUCAUAUCCUUAUAGGUUCCACAUCAGUGAUCCGGACCAGAAAGGAAGAGCUCAAGAAAGCUGAAUACAGAAUUUGUGAGUUAGGAAGGAUGUUGGAUAGGUCUCUUAUAGAAAAGAAAGAAAUUAAGCUCGACUUUGAGGCACAGAUUCGUGAACUGAAGGACACUCUGAAAAAAUGCAAAGAAAAGUUAUCCCGCAAGAUACUUCAAAAGGAAGAAGCUGAAAGAAACUGUCACCACCUCAAGUACUAGUUGGAAGAAGCUAAUAGGAGGUUUGCAGUUUUGGAGAGCCAAGAAGGUGAUGCAACCUACUUGCUCCUAAAGAAUGAUUAUGUGUAUUGGAAAAGGUUGAAUAGAGAGGCUAGAGCAGCCUUAGAUGAGGAUCAACAGGUCAUCAAGAAACUCCAAGAGCUCUAUGUUGAAUGGAAUGGAAAAUUCCGCAACUUAGCUAGAUUUGUUAACCUCAACAUGUUGGAACUCCCAGAAAAACUCCAAGAAGCCGAUUGGUGUUUGUGUCCAGGAAACAUGCCUCCUCAAGUUUUUAAUUUUGUCAAGUUUUGCAAGAAAAUGGUGAAGGAGCUCACCACAGAUCUUGCUACGAUCAUAAGAGCUGAGAUGGAGCUUAAGUUUACUUGUACUUGAAUUUGAAUUGUUGGUGUUUGAAUCUUUUGUUUUUGAAUUUGAAUCAUUUGUACUUGAAGUUAAAUCAUUUUGUACUGGAAUUUGAUUUUAAUUAAUGAAAGUUGUCAUUUUGGGUCUAAAUUAUUAUGUUUUAUUCUUAUUUAAUAUAUUUUAACAUUGUUGGAAUAAAUAAAAAAGAUAACUAAGAGCUUUGCACAAAAUGCACCCAUAACAUGCAUUCAUGUCAUUCUUGAAUUAAAACAAAAACUCAUUGUUGUGUCUUCUUCAGUUUCACACUGAGUCCUCGACACCACUACAACACCAAAGCCAACGCUUGUCAAAGAAUGGCAGAUCAAGAACAAGAAUUGGAGAGAGUAAGCUCAGAACUUGAGGACCUACGAGGAAACAUGGGUCAAGUCAUGGAGAUACUAUAAGUUAUUAAGGCCAAGUUGGACACCCAAACAACGAUCGUUUCAGAAAUCACCGAUCCUAUGAUUGAAUCCCAACCUGCGAGGACAGUGCCUACCACUUGUCCAGUCUAUGACUUACCUCCCGGCCUCACACCUCCAGUUGAAGGCGCCCCUGGAUUUGUACAAUCCACUCAGCAGACGGUUCCUCUACCAACUAUCAAUGAAGCUCAUCCCGUGGUCCACACAUUCGCACCACCCCUUGUCCAUGCACAUGUACAACCUUAUUUUGAAGACCAAUAACAUGCUCCGGAUUUUUCUGACGAAGAUGAUGAAAGGCAUGAAGACAUAAGAGGAAUGAAAUAGAAUUUCCAGAUUCUUGAGAAAAGGUUAAGGGCUAUGGAAGGUGAAUAAGUCUUUGGUGCUGCUGCUAGGGAGAUGUGCUUAGUGUCUGGUCUUGUGAUUCCCACAAAAUUCAAGACCCCAGAUUUCGAUAAGUACUAGGGCUACUCGUUCCCUAAAAGUCACCUCAUUAUGUACUAUCGAAAAAUGGCUGCGCACGUAGAGGACGAUAAACUUAUGAUACAUUCCUUUCAAGAGAGCUUAAGGGGUGCUCUUUCUAAGUGGUACUUAAGCCUUGAUCAAAGUAGAAUUCGUUGUUUCCAAGACUUAUCUGAUGCUUUCUUCCAACAUUAUAAGUAUAACAUGGAUAUGGCCCCGGAUAGGAGGCAAUUGUUCAGCAUGUCCCGGAAAGAUAACAAGUCUUUUAAGGAAUAUGCACAACGAUGGAGAGAAGUGGCCUCGCAAGUCGAGCCACCCCUUGUUGAGAAGGAGUUAGCAGAUUGGUUCAUUGAUACGGUAAAACCUAUGUUCUAUGAAAGGAUGGUGAGUAGUGUAUCGACAAGCUUCUCUGACUUGGUUGCUGUGGGCAUAAAGGUCGAGCUUGGAUUGAAGAAUGGAAAAAUGAUAACCACCACUGAAACAUCUAGUAACAAUGUCAAAAAAAAUUCCAGAGGUUUCAAAGAAAGAAAAAGGGUGAAACAAACGCAAUGUCAACCAGUCAAAGAAGGAGUCACUCGUGGAAGAAGCUACAUCAAUUUGCUCAAUAAUAACCAACUUAUCCAGUGCAGUAUAUUCAACAACUGUAUAUGGCAGCAGUCACACUGACUUUCAACCAAUCACAAGCUCCUGUCUAUCAACCUGUUCAACAAGCACCAGUAUACCAGCAAGCACCUAUGACACCUGCUUACCAAAAGCCAAGGGCACGGGCUCCACGUCCACAAAAUCUUCCAAAUCAAAAUAGGAUACAAAGAGGUAGACCUCUUUUCGCUUCAAUCCCUAUGGCGUACACUGAAUUAUACCCAUCGUUGUUGCAGAAAGGGUUGGUGACUCCCAGACCUUUGGGUCCUCCACCAAAUCCUUUACCUCCAUGGUACAAUCAAGAUGCCCAUUGUCCUUUCCAUGAGGAUGCCUCUGGGCAUGAUUUAGAGGGAUGUUAUGCUUUGAAACAUAUCGUGCGAGAGUUAGUUGAGAAGAAGAUCCUUUCAUUCCGAGAUGUUGGACCCAAUGUAAAAAGUAACCCUCUGUCGGCACAUGGUGAUGUUAAUUCCAUUGAGGAUAUUUCUGAUGCUUGUAUGAUAAAAAUGUUGAAGAUGUUAAAACUCCUUGGCUAGCACUCCAUGCAAGAUUGGCGGGAGUUGGUUUGAUUGAUACCUAUCACGAUAAUUGUGAAGAAUGUGUUAUUUAUCCAAGAGGGUGUAAAUUGGUACGAGCCGAUAUUCAAAACUUGAUGGAUAAAGGUGUCUUACAAGUUUGUGGUCCUGCAACAAACGAGGAAAUUUAAGUAAUUGAACCCUUUUUCAAUUUACCAGAGCAUGUUGAGAUAACCUAUCAAAGAAGGGAUGUUAUUCACCCAUCACCCGUGGUAGUCUCUAGGCCCACCCCUUUUCCCUUCGAAAGCACCAAGGUCGUGCCUUAGAAAUAUGACAUAACAGUGGUGGAUGGAGUGGUAGAUGGAGAACCCAAAGAUGUUGAAUGUGAGAAGAGCUUGGAGAAUGUUGACGCCAAUAUCACGAACAUCGUAGGGAUGAGCAGAAUGACCCAUAGUGGUCGGAUUUAUACUCCUAAUUUUAAUAUAAUCCAUCAAGAAUCGAUAAAGGAAGCUACAAUUGCAGUUCCUACCCAAGAAUCUGGAGGGGUACCAUCAGCGGUGCAAUCAGGUGAAGCGGUUGAAUUUCUGAAAAUGAUAAAGAAAAUCGACUACAAGAUACUCGAUCAGCUAUAUCAAACACUGUCAAAAAUAUCUAUCCUAUCCUUGCACCUGAACUCCCAAGCUCAUAGGGAGGCUCUACUAAAAGUGCUUGCUCAAGCUCAUGUUACUCAGGAUAUAACGGUUAACCAAUUCGAUGGGGUGGUCGCCAAUAUCACAACUUGCAAUACUCUAAGUUUUAGCAAUGAGGAGCUACCUAAGGAAGGACAAAAUCACAACCGUGCGUUGCAUGUAUCCAUAAAGUGCCAAGUAGAUGCUUUGGCCAGGGGUUUAGUUGACACUGGAUCAUCCCUCAAUGUAUUACCAAAAAGGGUGCUUGCUAAAUUAUCUUACCAAGGUUCGGAGAUGAAACCUAGUGCACUUGUGGUAAAAGCAUUUGACGGUUCCUGGAGAACAGUAGUUAGGGAGGUAGAGCUACCAAUCCAAAUCGGACCACAAGUAUUCCCCAUCAAUUUCCAAGUCAUGGACAUAAAUCCCGCUUAUAUCUGCCUUUUGGGACAUCCCUGGAUACAUGUUGUUGGGACAGUGACUUCUACUUUGCAUCAGAAAAUGAAGUUUAUCAUCGACGACAAGCUCAUCAUUGUCUCAGGUGAAGAAGAUUUUAUCAUUAGUCAACUUUCCUCUUUCCGUUAUAUCGAGGCUGAUGAAGAUGCCUUUGAGACUUCUUUCCAAGCACUUGAAAUAGCUAAUGCCACACUUACGGAAGUAAAGGGUCCUAUUGAGAAAACCAGUUUGUCGUUCGCCUCUUUGAAGAGCGCAAAGUCAGUAGUUGAAAGUGGAGGCCCUACAGGUUGGGGGCAAGUCAUCAAUGUCAGCGAGAAAAAUGAUUGUUUUGGUUUGGGGUACAAGCCUUCUGCUAAGGAAGGAGCCCUGGUCCCUGCAACGGACCGCAUACGGAGCAUACAAGAAGUUUUCCUAAGCACAUGAUUUAUCCAUGGGGAUCAAGUUGGUGCAGUUGAACACGACACUGAAGAUAAAGAAGCAUCAAAUUUGAUAUACCAUUGUGAAGUAGCCUUAACAAAUUGGGAGGCAGUUGAGAUUCCAGAAGUUUUUCCUGUUUCAAAGUAAUUGUCUUUCUUUUUGUUUUUCAAAAUCCUUAGCUCUGCCCCAGGCUAACGGAUCAUUUGAAGGGCCACUUUAAAUUUCAAAAUCAUUAUGACAAAUAAAGAGCAUUUUGUUCAAAUUCUUAUCAUUCAUUUAUAUGUUUUUCUUUCCUUAAAAUGGCAAUCCUUUCAAAACUACAAAAAUAUUUUUAUUUCUUUUGCAUUUUAUUUCCACUUUUCUAAAAAACCAUCAUUUAAAAAAUAUGCAGAAUAAUCAAUAAACCAGUUGAAUUCGAUGACCCUGCUACUUCGCAUAACUUUGAAUUCCCCAUCUACCAAGCAUAAGAGGAUAGUGAGGACAAUUAUUAUUUCCCCGAAGAAAUGGAAAGGUUGCUCGAGCACGAGUCAAAGGCCCUUCAGCCGCAUCAAGAUUUGGUGGAGACAAUCAACCUUGGCACCGAGGAAGAAAAGAAAGAGGUCAAAGUUGGGACUACACUUAGGGCAAGCAUCAAAGACAGAUUGAUCAAGCUGCUACAAGAAUAUGUAGAUGUAUUUGCAUGGUCAUACCAGGAUAUGCAAAGUUUAGAUACUAAUAUUGUUGUCCACAAGCUGCCACUACAUCUAGAUUUUCCGCCGGUGAAACAGAAGCUCCGAAAAGCAAGACCCGACAUGGCUCUAAAGUUUUGUGACGAGGUGAAACGCCAAUUUGAUGCCAGUUUUCUAGCAGUUGCAAAGUACCCUCAAUGGGUAGCUAAUAUCGUACCAGUACCCAAAAAGAAUGGCAAAGUUAGGAUAUGUGUUGAUUACAGGUAUCUAAACAAAGCUAGUCCAAAGGACGAUUUUCCCUUGCCUCAUAUUGACACUUCGGUAGACAACACCGCUAAGUUCACAGUCUUCUCCUUCAUGGAUGGAUUCUUGGGUUAUAACCAAAUUAAGAUGGCUCUAGAAGACAUGGAAAAAACCACAUUCAUCACCCCUUGGGGAACAUUUUGCUACAAGGUAAUGCCAUUCGGUCUCAAAAAUGCCGGGGCGACUUACCAAAGAGCAAUGGUCACUCUUUUCCAUGAUAUGAUGCACAAGAAAAUUGAGGUUUAUGUCGAUGAUAUGAUCGUGAAAUCCCAAAGUGAAGAGGAUUAUAUAGAUCACUUGCAAAAGCUAUUUGAGCGUCUCCAGAAAUUCCGACUACGGCUGAAUCCUGCUAAAUGCACCUUCGGUAUCCGAUCUGGAAAGUUGCUUGAUUUCAUUGUUAGUCAACAAGGAAUUGAGGUAGAUACAGACAAGGUUCGAGCAAUACAAGAAAUGUUUUUUCCACGUACAGAGAAAGAAGUCAAAGGAUUCCUGGGAUGUUUGAACUAUAUCUCUAGGUUUAUAUCUCAUAUACUGCUACAUGUGAACGUAUAUUCAAGUUACUUAGGAAAGAUCAAGCAGUUGAAUGGAACUCUGACUGCCAAAGGGCUUUUGAGAAGAUCAGACAAUACCUGCAAGAUCCCCCUAUUCUAAUUCCACCUGUUCAGGGGAAACCACUCUUUGUGUAAUUCAUUGUGCUUGAAAAGUCAAUGGGAUGCAUGCUGGGACAACAUGAUGAAACCGACCGAAAAGAACAUGCCAUAUACUAUCUGAUCAAGAAGUUUAUUGAUUGGGAAACUCGAUAUUCACUCUUAGAGAAACUUGUUGUGCUUUAGCAUGGGCCGCUGGCCGUCUAAGGCAGUACAUGAUUUGUCACACUACUUUGUUGAUCUCAAAAAUGGAUCCAAUAAAGUAUAUCUUUGAAAAUCCCGUUUUAACUAGGAGACUCGCCUGUUGGCAGCUGUUAUUAUCUGAGUAUGACAUCCAAUAUGUAUCCCAGAAAGCCAUUGAAGGAAGUGUGUUAUCUGAUUACCUGGCACACCAGCCUGUUGAAGACUACCAACCGUUGAAAUUAGACUUCCCUGAUGAAGACAUUAUGGUAGUAAAAGAUUGUGAAAUCCCAGGACCUGAUGAAGGACCAGAAUCUAAAUCUCGUUGGAAGCUCAUGUUCGAUGGUUCCUCCAAUUACAUGGGGCAUGGCGUAGGAGCUGUUCUAUUGAAUCCGAGUGGUGGAUACACUUCUUUCAUAGCAAGGUUGUGUUUUGAUUUCAUAAACAAUAUAGCAGAAUAUGAGGCGUGCAUCCUAGGCAUCGAAGCAACAAUUGACCUCUGAAUCAAAAUCCUCGAAGUAUGUGGAGACUCAACCUUGGUGAUAUACCAAGUCAAGGGAGAAUGGGAAACCCGUGAUACCAAGUUGAUCCCAUAUCGUGCCUAUGUCAUGGAGCUAAUAAAAUACUUUGAUGAAAUCACUUUCCGUCAUAUCCCGAGAACUGAGAAUCAAAUAGCUGAUGCUUUGGCUAUGUGGCUUCAAUGUACCAAGUUAGAUUCCAUAAUGAAGCGCCUCUCAUUCAGAUAGAGCGGAAAGUUGAGUCUGCCUACUGUCAGUUGGUUGAAGAGGAAGCCGAUGGUAAACCUUGGUUUCACGACAUCAAAUGCUUUUUGUAAAACCAACAAUAUCCAACAGAUGCAACAACCCUUGACAAGAAAAUGUUAAGGAAAUUGGCAUCCAAAUUCUUCUUAAGAAAUGGUUGUUAUACAAGAGAAACCACAACAUGAUUUUGCUCAUAUGCGUGGAAGGACACGAAGCCGACCUGUUGAUCAAAGAGAUUCAUGAAGGAUCCUUUGGAACUCAUGCCAAUGGGCAUGCCAUGGCAAAGAAGAUUUUGAGAGCAGGUUAUUACUGGUUGACCAUGGAAUCCGACUGCUUCAAUUAUGCUAGAAAAUGUCAUAAAUGUCAAAUAUAUGCUGACAAGGUACGCGUGCCUCCGACCCUACUAAAUAUUUUGACAUCACCUUGGUUGUUCUCGAUGUGGGGCAUCGACAUGAUUGGCGCCAUCGAGCCUAAAGCCUCCAAAGGUCACCGUUUCAUCCGGGCUACCAUUGAUUACUUUACCAAAUGGGUAGAAGUUUCCUCUUAUGUUAAUAUGACAAAACAAGUGGUCGCACGGUUUCUCAAGAAAGAGAUUAUUUUCUAUUAUGGAGUUCCAAGCCGGAUCAUUACAGAUAAUGGGACGAAUCUGGACAAUAAGACCAUGAAAGAAUUAUGCGAAAGCUUCAAGAUUGAGCACCAUAACUCUUCACCAUAUCUUCCAAAGAUGAAUGGUGUUGUUGAAGCCGCUAAUAAAAACAUCAAGAAGAUCUUGUAGAAAAUGGUGAAGUCGUAUAAGGAUUGACACGAAAUGCUACCCUUUGCAUUACAUGGAUACCGGACUUCCGUCCGUACUUCAACAGAGGAGACCCCAUUCUCUUUGGUAUAUCAGAUGGAAGCGGUUCUCCCAAUUGAAGUGGAGAUACCUUCAAUGAGAAUCUUGAUUGAGACCAAGCUAGAAGAGGCUGAAUGGAUCAAAAACAGAUUUGAUCAGUUAAACCUCAUAGGUGAGAAGCGAAUGACUUCUUUGUGCCAUGGACAGUUAUACCAGAAACGACUCAAAAGGGCUUUUGACAAGAAAGUACGUGUUCGGGAAUUCAGAGAAGGAAACCUCGUGCUCAAGAAGAUCUUGCCAAUACACAAGGACUCACGUGGGAAGUGGACUCCCAAUUAUGAAGGUUCGUAUGUUGUGAAGAAAGCCUUCUCUGGAGGUGCCUUGAUUCUUACAGCUAUGGAUGAUGAAGAGCUCUCACACCCCGUAAACUCUGAUGCAGUUAAAAAAUACUAUGCCUAAUAAAAACCCGCUAAGUCGAAAACUUGAAAGGGCGAUUUAGGCAAAAAAAGGGUAUCCCGGUGGAUCGAAAAUCCGAAUGGGCGAUCCAGGAAGAAGUUAGGGAUGAAUAAAAACUGAUAGCUCACUAAGUUGAAAACCCUAAAGGGCAACUUAUGCAAAAAAGAGCGUCCCGGUGGAUUGAAAACCCGAAAGGGCGAUCCAGGAAAAAGUUAGGGGCAAAAGGCAUAAAUUGCAUCAGAUGUUAGUGAUCGAUAUAGAAAAAUCAAGAUGGAAGAUCGGUCCAGUUACUCCCUUUAGAGGCAAGGUUUUGGGGAAUCAUGUUUAUUAAGAGUGGUAGUGGUCACUGGAUUCAAUGUAAACCUUUCCUCGUUGCCAUUUUCAAAAUUGUAAUGUUCCAUGGAGCUACGCCAUUUGUGUGUUACCAUUCCUAAUAAAAUACAAGUUUUUCCUUUCAAUCAUUGUUAAUAGUGUUCUUCUAUGUUUUUCUUUGUUAUGAAAAGUUUCAUUUAUUUGUUAAUAAUGAAAUUUUGAAACUUGAAAAGAAUUUUAAAUGUAAUGAAAGGAAAAAAUUGCUUUGGUAUAUGUGAAAAUCAAGAGAAAAUCAUUUGUUUUUUUCUGAAAGUCUCAAGGUUGUCGAAACACUCCUGGAUCACCAACAAAAAUAUCCAUGGAACACAAAUUAUUAAUCCUCUGGAAGGAUGGCCCUUUGGUUAGUUAUAACUGUCAAUCUUGAUAGAUUCUCCUCUAGAUACGCCUAUUACUUGUACGGGUUUGAGUUAUUGGUGUUAAGGAAUCAGAAUCUCUAUAAACAGUCCUUAUAAACUCCCAGUAUGCCUAUUGCCAAUAUAGCAUAUCAUGAUCAUUCAUAUAUCAUGCAUAAAACAAAAAAAAAUUAAAUCAUGCAUGGUUCAAAGUGUACUUUGCACUCAUUUGUGUUGCCCCUUCGGUCUCGUCGUUGAUUGUUAUCCCAUGACCCAAAGACCAUUUGUCGCUAGCACUCCAUCCAAAGUCCAAUCAUCAUUGGCAUCCCCUAAGGUCCAGUUGUCACUGGUGUUAUCUCUAAUCUGAUUGUCAUUGGUAUGUCAAGUUCAGUUGUCACUGAACAUCUUAUCAUAAAUCUACUUGUUAUUUGGUACCCUUAAAAUCUAGUUGUCACUAGUAUUGUUUCAAGAGUUCAGUUGUCAUUGACAUCUCCAAAAUUCAGUUGUUACUAGUAUUAUCAUCAAAAAUCCAGUGGUUGUUGGUAUCUUUUCAAAAUCCCAUGGUCAUUGGAGUUUAUUUAGAGUCCAGUAGUAACUGGCACUUUGGUCUUAAAAAACCAAUUGUUGUUAGUUUUCUCUGAAAAAAAUUCCAGUUAUAACUGGCACUCCAUUUGAAAAUCCAAUCAUAAUUGGUACCUGAAGUUUGGUUGUUACCAACAUCAUUUAAAGUUCAGUUGAAGUUGUCACCAAUCCGUUAGAAGAUGGUUGUAAUCCAUUGCUUACGGUCUAAUUCCAAUUAUUGGCAUGUACAGAGAGUUUGAUUACCCUGUUUUUCCAGAUGGUUCCUAGAAAUUCACGAGUGACUCUUCAUUUUAAAGAAUUCCCAGAAGCUUGGAUGUUAUUCUUGUUGAAAAACUCCAAUGAUGUUUGGUUUUGAUUGAUUUCUUUGUAAAGAAUCAUCGUACCCUUUUUGCAUGGAUGAUCUUCUCGUAAGAAAACUCCUAAUCUAGUUUAUGUGGAUGAUUUUCUAGUAAGAAAACUCCAAUAUGUUAUAUGGAUAGUCUUCUCGUAAGAAGACUCCCUUUUUUUUAGGUAAUUUUAUGUUAGAAAUCUCCAAAGUCUUUGAUUGGAUAUAUUUCUUAUAAGAGAUCCCCAUAAUUGUCAAAAGUAUUCUAAAGGAUUAGGUCAUGUCUGAACUUAUUUGAUAAAAUGUACUGUGGAUAUUUCUUAUGAGAAAUCUUAAGAACUGUCAAAUACAUUCUAAAGUGUCAGGUCAUGUCUUGACCUAUUGAUAAAUUAUAUUUUGGAUGUUCCCUAGUGUCUUUUCCCCAGCAAAUUGCCAUCCCCAAUGAGUCUCCACCCAUUGUCUUUGACAUUUCCUAUGAAAUACCACUACCGUAUUCCCAUUAUUCCCCACAAGUCUGUCCAUCAUCCAUCAUAAAAAUCACGCUAGGGUCCAUCAUAUCCCUAUCAAACCAAAAAGAUAUCCUUCAACAUAUAGCACGUCAUGUCAUCACAUCUAGGAGCAAAAUUCGGGUCUUGGUAUUUAAAUACCUCUUACUUUGGAUACCAUGAGGAUUAUCAUCACUCAUGCCAUCUGGUAAAAAUAUUUAAAUAGGAGCAACUGUCAUACCCUAAAUUUUGCCCCGCCUAAAGGCAUUCAUUUACAUUUCAAGCAUUUGUAUUUAUCAAUUCGCAUCCAUUCAUUGACAUAAAUUAUUCCUUUUUUUUUAAUUUUAUUUCACUAAUUUUUUUUUAAUUUUCAUUAGAAUUUUUUCUAAUUACCAAUUCACAUAAAAAACAUGAUCUUCAUUCAUAAGCAUUCAUUAAAAUAAAUUAUUCAAUUUUUUUAAUUUCAUUUUAAUGGCAUUUAUUUAAUUUUCAUUAGAUUUUUUAUUAUUUACCAAUUUACAUAAAAAAAACAUGAUCUUCAUUCAUAAGCAUUCAUUGACAUAAACUAUUCCAUUUUUUAAAUUUCAUUUUAAUGACAUUUAUUUAAUUUUCAUUAGAAUUUUUUUCUAUUUACCAAUUUACAUAAAAAAACAUGAUCUUUAUUCAUAAAUAUUCAUAUUCAUAAAUUAUUCUUUUUUUUUAAUUUUAUUUUAAUAGCAUUUAUUAAUUUCCAUUAGAAUGUUUUCUAUUUACCAAUUCACAUAAAAAACAUGAUCUAGUUAUAUCUUUGCAUUCUAAAAAAUUAGUAGAAAGUUUUUUAUGUUAUGUUUAAAUAAGUAUUGACAAAUUAAUUUUUGUUUCACAAAUUAAGAUAUGAAUUUAAAAAAAAAUGAUAAUGAUAAUUUUUUUUUCUACAAUUUGUUUUACAUUUUUGUUACUUUUUUUACAGUAACAAAUUACAUUAAAAAAAGAAAAUAUGUCAAGUGGGAGACCCCUUAAAACUUGAUUUGGUUGGUGACCUCUUUUGUUUGUAUGUGUGUAGCUAACAUCUUUUUCUAUUUCUAAGCAUGAAGUUUGUUUUGAAAUUGGCCCUAAGCACUUGAAUUUGGUUUGUCCACUUCAAAUUUUGUCCUAUUUGCAGAGAUCUUUUU